CAAGCUGUGAAAUGGGGAUAAAGAUACUUUACAGGGUUACUGUGAAGAACAAAGGCAGCUCAAUUUUGUUCAUGGUACAAAAAGGAGGCGAAGGGAAAGGAAGCGAUUGUACGCUCUGAAUUGAGCAUUGCAUGCCUUUAAUCCUCAGAGCAAACUCCAGUUCACAGACAGAAACUUCGGGGAGGUUUAGUACCUUCCUUCAAACCACACAGGCCUGAUCCCGGGACCGUCUAGCCCUGGCCCAUGUUCCCUAUCUACUUGCCGACUACCUGACUCCAACUUCCCUGAGGGUGGAGACCAUGUCAAUCCUGUUUACUUGUCUUUCCAGUGCCAGGAAUAUACUAGAAGGCUUUCAGUAAAUGUAGAAUAAAUGAAUGGUUAAUGGG